GACGAACGCUGGCGGCGUGCUUAACACAUGCAAGUCGAACGGAAAGACCCUGCUUUUGUGGGGUGCUCGAGUGGCGAACGGGUGAGUAACACGUGAGUAACCUGCCCUUGACUUUGGGAUAACUUCAGGAAACUGGGGCUAAUACCGGAUAGGAGCUCCUGCUGCAUGGUGGGGGUUGGAAAGUUUCGGCGGUUGGGGAUCGACUCGCGGCUUAUCAGCUUGUUGGUGUGGUAGUUGCUUACCAAGGCUUAGACGGGUAGCCGGCCUGAGAGGGUGACCGGCCACAUUGGGACUGAGAGACGGCCCAGACUGCUACGGGAGGCAGCAGUGGGGAGUAUUGCACAACGAGCGGAAGCCUGAUGCAGCAACGCCGCGUGCGGGAUGACGGCCUUCGGGUUGUAAACCGCUUUCGCCUGUGACGAAGCGUGAGUGACGGUAAUGGGUAAGGAAGCACCGGCUAACUACGUG
rnacentral:rRNA from 1 species